rnacentral:rRNA from 1 species
CCGUAAAAAGCGGCCGGCGCUCGGGCGGGUUUUGUUUAAAGAUACAGAUGUUGAAAUUCCCCGGGCUGCAACCUGGCAGCUGCAAUCUGUAACUGGCAAGCUAGAGUGCGGCAGAGGGAGGGUGGAUUUACCUCGUGUAGCAGUGAAAUGCGUAGAUAUGUGGAGGAACACCGAUGGAGAAGGCGAUCCCCCUGGAGCGCAGUACUGACGCUCAUGCGCGAAAGCGUGGGGAGCAAACAGGAUUAGAUACCUUGGUAGUCCACGCCCUAAAAUGAUGUCAAUUUGGAGGUUGGGACUUAGUUUUGUCGGUUACGAAGCUAACGCGUGAAGUAGACCGCCUGGGGAGUACGGCCGCAAGGUUAAAACUCAAAUGAAUUGACGGGGACCCGCACAAGCGGUGGAUGAUGUGGUUUAAUUCGAUGCAACGCGAAAAACCUUACCCACUUUUGACAUCCAGGGAAGUUUCCAGAGAUGGAUUUGUGCUUUAGAGAAAUCUUACACACAGGUGUUUAUAUGUUUUUGUCUGCUCUUGUUUUGAAAGAUGGGGGUUUAACUCCCACCAAGAGCGCCCCCUUUCUCUUUAGUUGAUACAUUCAGCUGGGCACUCUAAUGAGACUGCCGGUGACAAACCGGAGGAAGGUGGGGAUGACGUCAAGUCUUCAUGGCCCUUAUGGGUGGGGCUACACACGUCAUACAAUGGUUGGUACAGAGGGUUGCCAACCCGCGAGGGGGAGCUAAUCCCAUAAAACCAGUCGUAGUCCGGAUCGCAGUCUGCAACUCGACUGCGUGAAGUCGGAAUCGCUAGUAAUCGCGGAUCAGCAUGCCGCGGGGAAUACGUUCCCCGGUCCUGGACACACCCCCCGUCACCCCCAGGGAAGGGGGCUGCCCAAAAAUAGGUAACCUAACCCCAAGGAGGGCUCCUAUCCUACUCCCCCCACG